rnacentral:misc_RNA from 1 species
GUUCAAACGAAGCAGACCCCAAAACCGGGCUGACUAUGCCAAAAUUGUCCCGACAAAAGGGCAUGUUAAAAUUGGGGCAAAGGAUAGUAAACAUGUCUUCAUAGAUGUGGGAAACGAAGAAGACUACAGCACCAUAGUUUCUUUCAAUUUCAUCCAGCUGGGAGAAGAUAACAAUACGGCAAUUCAAAUAUGGACCACUGAUUUUAACCCUAAUGCUUCAUCUACACUUGCUCCAGUGUGGAUUAAUCUUCCCGACCUCCCGUGGCAUUAUUACAGAAGGGCCGCCUUGUGUCGUAUAGUUGAACCGAUUGGUAACCUCAUUAUAU